CAUAUACCAAGUUAAUAAUAGAGCGCUGCAAAUUCUUCUCUAGAUGCCUGACAGCUCAGUAGCUUAAUAAUUAAUUUUAUGGGGACUGAGACUUUGUUUUUAUCCAAGAAAAAUAUGUUCGGCCCAACUACCAGUGAGCCCUGUUCUUGGCAGCACCUAUUUCCACAAGCAAAAAUCUACGGUGAUUCAGAGCAAACUGCGAUACAAGAAAUCUAUCCACAGACGUCUACAAAGUAGCUGGUAGAAUUAACCUGGAGCCUGGGAAUCCUGAUGUCCUUUCUCCUGGUUAACCCAUGGCACCUCUGGCCGUGAUUAUCCAUUUGCAGAGUAUAGGAUUAUCCCAGGAGUAUUGACUCUCUUUUGUGCUAAGAUUCCGUUACCUGUAGAAGUACACAAUAUUGUUAUAAUCUGAUAAAUCUCCUGGAAUGAAUCACAUCUCUUGAAUGGAAAUCUUUGGAAGCAACUUGUAUGAGAGACAUGAAAAACUUCCACUUCCUUGAAGAAAUGUGGAAAAUCAGAACUACCAGGUGAGGGCUGUUUUGUUUAAGCGGUUUACGCUGCCUCAAGAUGCUUACUUUCUCUGCCAACAUUAGACAGGCAGAGGAGUCUGUUGCCAGCCUCGUUGCCUAUCCAUAUCAGUGUUUGCCUCUAACAGCCACAGGCCCUACAAUAGAUUGGAAUGGGAUACACUGGCCCUCUUGAAAACCUCAUCUUAACCCCUGACAUAUAUGGGAUUCUGUAAAGCUAGAAACAUGAGGUUUUAAUCCCUGAAAUCUAGAUAAGUAACAAUGGCCAAUGAGAACAAGCUAAUUAUGCCAAAGUAUUAAGUCUUAUCAGAUAAUGUUCUAGGGUUUUUUGGGAGUCAGUAAAGCAUCUCUGCUUUCCUUGGCUGCAUGGAUGGAAGGUGCAUCAUAGAACAUUUUUUACUUCUUCCAAAGCAUUAAAUAGUGGCUACGGCCCAAGCAGGAUGUUUGCUAGGCAGACCAAGAGAUUGAUUUGACAUGGCAGCUACCUUCCAAUGUAUCACUGUUGAUCAACAGUGUCUAAGGGGUGAAUUUAUAGCAGCAGGACUGAGUCAGCUUUUGGCAUCACUGUCAGUGGCACUCUCCUCUCAGCAUCAGUAUAAUUAAGACUCAGAGAGGCUUCCAAUAUAGGAGAUUUUACAGCUCAUCUUUUGGAGACAACAGAAUUGUUAUUUCAAAUUGAUGCUGGGCCACAGGGGAUAGGAAAGAUUAGAGAAGGUUUGGUAUUCCUUUAGUGGCUAAAUAAUACAGCUUGUCAAAAACAGUGCUCUAUGUCAGCUCUCUUAAAUACUUGUUUGGGCUGACAGUCUUCCCAAUAACACUUCAUUUGUCUAAGCUGCAUACCACUGGCACAAAGACACAGCGUCAAGUUGAAUCAGACAAUAUCUGGAGACAGAUGUUGUAGUACAGUAGUAAAUUCUUGAUACAUGUCACUCAGAGGAGACUGUUUCUAACUGUCUUAUUCUGUAAGGUCUUUUAUGAACCUAUUUAUAUCAGCCAAAUAAAUCUAAGGAUGACAUUCUACAGUUGCUUCAUUCACAAAGCAACAUGAGAAAGUCCUGCAGAGCAGUUGCAUGAGGGAACGUGCAGUCUUCAGGAAACUUUAGUAAUUUCAGUUGGAAUACUCAGCAUGUAACUCUGAAAGCACGUGACAAAGCCAGUCAUCCAAAAGUCUGGUAAAGAAAUCGUAUUAUCAACAGUCCUUUAUGGGUAAAUAAGUGGAAAUCGUGGCAGAAUCAAGGAAAUAUUUUUCAGAAAUAGAUCUUUUUGGCCCAGGAAUUCUGAAGGUCUAGUUUGUACUUUGAGUCAGCAUUCCCACUGAUUUUGAAUGUAAGACAAAUCAGGGAAAAUAUUUUAGGCCUAAGAUACUUCACUAUGUUAAAGACUGAAGCUAGGCUCUGCCUUUUGUGCUGGGCUGUUAAAAAUGCUGUGCAAAGCCUGUCUUAAGGUCAUGGGUUGUGAGACACUACAUCCAACAGCAGAGAACAGUGUAGACUUGAGCUAGACAAUGGGGCUGGAACACGGGUGUAAUCUAGUCAUUUGCCCAAGCACCAGGACAUGGUUUCUCAUGAUAGAUUUAUCUCUUUCAGAAAGUGAAUUUUAGCCUCUGGCUUGUAAUAAAAUAUAAUGCAAUGCAUCUCUUCCGUCUGUGUUCAAUGCCUGUCUCUUUAAAAUCUGCCUUUUUUCUUCUUCUUAUAAAGUUGCAUUAGGAUAGUGCUGUCCUGCAGGACAUGAUGAGAAAAUAACAUGGCUAAAGAACUGCAUGGAAUAUCUGUGCAUCAGUUACUAAUCUGUUCUGGAUGGAUGGACUUAGAAGUUAUCUUAGUGACUAACCAUUGGAAAAUCCUGUGAUAUGGGAGCUCAUGCAUUUUUUUGUAGCCACAGCUGCAGUCAUUUCCCUUCAGAGACACAUCAUUUCCCCAAGACACAUCCUGUCUCAGAGGGCUAUGGUGUCUGCUGCUCCAAGCUUCUGUCCUCUUUUUCAGUAGCCAGCAUAUGGGUGGAGAUUUCCUUCCUAGUUUCUUCUCCUGAAAACUUCAUCUCAAGCUACAGCUUGAGAAAUGGAUUGAAUCUUGACCUCUUGCAUAAACAUUGUCUCUGCAUGCCAAAAGGAGUCUUAGUGAGAACCAGAGCCCCUGUCUAGACAUGUUUCUUCAUCAUAUAACUCUGAUAGGUAUGUCUUCCAUUGUUGGGCUAGCUCUCUUUGUCUCCGAGUAGCAGCGAUGCCAGAGUUAAAGCAGGUAUUUAAGCAUGUGCAUCUGAAUACUUCAAUGUCGUCUGUUCGGUACACCAGCAACACAAGCAAUGAAAUAAUUUUCAUAUUCUGCAAAGGGAAAUAAGGAAUCUUGUACAAAGUGAAACUAUCUAUUCGUAGUCUUUCUUCCUGAUAUGCAGAAGCAGUUUAUACAUAACUUCAGUAGGGUUCGAUCCCUUUGUACAGAAGAGCAGCAGGGAAGGUAAGAGAAAUGGGUGAGGAAAGAGAUUCUGUCCUCACAGAGGACAGAAUUCCAUUCAGGAACGGGACAAAAAUGUGAUGGGUCUGCAAUGAAUUUAGGAAGUACCUUUGCUACAGUAAGAAGUUAUGAUUGGAUUAGAGAAGGAUUAAAAGAAAAACCUGUGCCGAAGAGGCAGACUAGGAGAAUGACGCCUGUUGCAAGCAAAGAUGUUGAUGGACCAGGUCAAGGCUGCUGAUCUAGUCUAAUGACUCUGUUUUACUGAGUACUGUGUUGAGACAUCAAUUUAGAUAAGGCCUACUUGUUUUUAAGCACAGUAUUAACACGAUAAGAGAAAGUCCUUGCUUUGAAGACCAUUGCUGUUAAUGGUGGAAAUUGGCUUGCGACAGGCAGUGCAUGCUAGUGAAGAGUAUAAUACACUGGCCAGCAAACAAACUACGGCUUCUUAAAAAUCAUGUUUUGCAAAGCGAUAAAUAGGAAUGCUUUGAACGGGAAUGAGCUAAUCAGGCAAAUUAAGAGGCAGUGAACACUGGUGGUAUAGAUGUUCAUCAUUCUUCACAAUUUUUUUAAUUUUUUUUUUUUUGCCAAUGUUAACAAAACUUUAUCAAAAAAAGAAAAAUAUUGAUGUGAUAUUCGUCAAUAUUUAAAAUUUAUUUAUUUUCAGAUGAAAUUGGACCUGAUAAAUCUUAAUGGGGUUGCCUAAGUAUAUACUUCUAUAAUACUUUUCUUCUCAGAACUAUACCAUUAGGUGGCAAAAAAGGGCAUUUAGCAUUAACGGUUGCACAAACAAAGGAAAUGCAUCAUAGAGAAAAAGGAAACAGAGGUGUAAUUCUCUUCUGAUCAAGUCUGUCUUUUAACUCCAAGAUCUCCAGGGGUGGUGUCUAUAAUUCAACCACUUCAGGCUCUGGGAAAUUUAGUAAAUUAUGGCUAGUAGGAAGAAAUACAAUGCAGAUAAUUUUAAAUCUCUUUAAAAUAGUAAUAAUAGGAAAAUAGUUUUAAACUUUUAAUUUACUCACAAAGGCUUAACAGUAGGGGCAGGACUCUCUUGCUUUCUUGAUAUCAUCACAGAAGCUGGGCAAGAAUGUGAUAUAACACCAGCCAACUCUCAUUACUGCUGAAGGAAUGUGGUGUGAUUAAACCUCUAUACAGAAAGAAAUGGAAUGUAAUUCUUACAUGUUGAUUUGCUUUGAACACAUACCACAUGCUGAGGAAUGAGUUUCCAGUGUACUCUUCCAUUUCUAAUGAUGGAGAGGACCCCACCUCCAAAAACUAACUACAACUCUCCUCUUCUGAAAAUGAACACUAUUUGGUUAAAGAUAUUUGUUCACAUUUCCCAGUGUCCAAAACCACUAAAUCCUUUGAGAAAUGUCUGUGAAUGCAAAGCCUUCUUUUUCUUCCUAUUGGGAAAUUCAAGAAAUCAAAGCCCUUUUUUUGCAGCCAUAGAACAAAAGAAGUUUUUGUAUUUCUAAAUACUUCUUCCAAAGUUUCACUAAUAUGAUACCAACGGUUAAAUUAUUUUGUCCUUAUGGACUGCUCUACAGCCCUGUUCAUGUCAUGAAGGUGCCUGAACUUACCUCCUACCUGCACAUUUCCUGCAGUCCUUGAGACUGUGCCUCAGUUGCUAACUUCUGGCUGAAGAAGACUGGAUGGGACUCCCUCCGGCAUCCAGCAGCGAGGCUGUCGUCCAAGUAGUGAGCUGCAGGGUGAUGCAAGGCACUCCCUUCCCUCCGGAUCUGAGCUAGCUACCUCAUCUUGAAAGGAUUUGUUGCUCAAUGACAUCAGCCUAGAGUGAAACAUGGAUCACUUGUCAACAGUUAAUGAUGACAUUUGCUUGCUUACCUCACAAGAUCAGCACUAUAAAGCAUGAAACCCCUUCUGACCCUUGAAAUGGAACCGCAUAAAGACAGAAUUUACUGUAAACUAUUGGCUUCCAAAACCUAAAGCAGGAUCAACAAGGAAUCAGGACACCUGGAAUGUCUUUGAGGUGUACGUGAAUUUACAUAACUAUUGUAAAGUAAUCUUUUAACUGUUUCAGUGCAGCAUGAGCCAUAAAUUCAGCAGAUAUGUGUGCUUGUGUUUUGUAGUAAAUGAAGUUUAGACUUGA